AAAUCAUGAUGAGGAUAAUGCCAUAAUAAACCCUUAAAUCUAUCUGAUGUUUUAAAUAGUGAUUCUAUAUCUACUUGAGUAAAGCUUGUAAUUCUAUUCCUCAUGU